rnacentral:rRNA from 1 species
UUGAACGCUGGCGGCAGGCCUAACACAUGCAAGUCGAACGGUAACAGGAAGCAGCUUGCUGCUUUGCUGACGAGUGGCGGACGGGUGAGUAAUGUCUGGGAAACUGCCCGAUGGAGGGGGAUAACUACUGGAAACGGUAGCUAAUACCGCAUAACGUCGCAAGACCAAAGAGGGGGACCUUAGGGCCUCUUGCCAUCGGAUGUGCCCAGAUGGGAUUAGCUAGUAGGUGGGGUAACGGCUCACCUAGGCGACGAUCCCUAGCUGGUCUGAGAGGAUGACCAGCCACACUGGAACUGAGACACGGUCCAGGCUCCUACGGGAGGCAGCAGUGGGGAAUAUUGCACAAUGGGCGCAAGCCUGAUGCAGCCAUGCCGAGUGUAUGAAGAAGGCCUUCGGGUUGUAAAGUACUUUCAGCGGGGAGGAAGGGAGUAAAGUUAAUACCUUUGCUCAUUGACGUUACCCGCAGAAGAAGCACCGGCUAACUCCGUG